UUGGGAAUAUUGGACAAUGGGCGAAAGCCUGAUCCAGCAAUGCCGCGUGAGUGAUGAAGGCCUUCGGGUCGUAAAGCUCUUUUAGUGGGGACGAAGGGAAACUUGACGGUACCCACAGAAAAAGCACCGGCUAACUCCGUGCCAGCAGCCGCGGUAAUACGGAGGGUGCAAGCGUUGUUCGGAAUCAUUGGGCGUAAAGCGCGUGUAGGCGGCCAUCUAAGUCUGGUGUGAAAGCCUGGGCUUAACCCCAGAAGUGCACUGGAUACUGGGUGGCUAGAGGGCGAGAGAGGAGAUCGGAAUUCAUGGUGUAGGGGUGAAAUCCGUAGAUAUCAUGAGGAACAUCUGUGGCGAAGGCGGAUCUCUGGCUCGCUUCUGACGCUGAGACGCGAAAGCGUGGGGAGCAAACAG
rnacentral:rRNA from 1 species